UACGGAGGGUGCAAGCGUUAAUCGGAAUUACUGGGCGUAAAGCGUGCGCAGGCGGUUUUGUAAGACAGAUGUGAAAGCCCCGGGCUUAACCUGGGAAUGGCAUUUGGGACUGCAAGGCUUGAGUGCGGCAGAGGAGACUGGAAUUCCUGGUGUAGCAGUGAAAUGCGUAGAUAUCCGGAGGAAUACCGAUGGCGAAGGCAGGUCUCUGGGCUGACACUGACGCUCAUGCACGAAAGCGUGGGGAGCAAACAGG
rnacentral:rRNA from 1 species